CAGUGAGGAAUAUUGGACAAUGGGUGAGAGCCUGAUCCAGCCAUCCCGCGUGAAGGACGACGGCCCUAUGGGUUGUAAACUUCUUUUGUACAGGGAUAAACCUUUCCACGUGUGGAAAGCUGAAGGUACUGUACGAAUAAGCACCGGCUAACUCCGUGCCA
rnacentral:rRNA from 1 species